CACUCUCUGUCUAGAAAGAAAGAAUAUUAACAAACCCCGUGAGUUAACUCGGAACCAAACCUAGGCUGUUCCCUGCAGCCCUAUCUGGUGUAUCGGGCAGUUGGCUGGUUGCCUAGCAACUGCUUACUUGAAGGGAAAACAACUGCGUCACAAAGAGGUCAUUCCGUCCAUCACACGCACUGUCUCAGGUUGAGCAAAGGAAAGUGUUUGCCCAGGUUGGCAUGCUCCUCUCAGGUGAAAUAUGAGGAGAUGUUUUAAGGCAGUUAGUUUUGGGAUUCAACAAUGGUAUUGGAGGUAGAGGAGAGCGUAAAAAUGACUGAAAAAUAUAAAGUCACCUGGGUGUGGAUCAGUCCUAAGAAAGCUGCCUGGAUCCCAGCUGGAGAAACUACUGCCUAAGUCUCAGGGACUUGAAGUAACUACCAAAUGCAGUGGCAAUAAAAUGCCAACCUAAUGUGGAAAUUUAAUGCAAAACUGUAUACAUGAACUACACGAGGGAACUGUAAUGGAUGUUUUAGGAUGUAACUAACAUGUCAAGAUUCAAAGAAGUGAAAUUUCCUCCCACCUUCUCUGGAUCCCAAGGGACAUGCAAGUGAGAAGAAGCCCUUCCCUCACCAAUUGCAAAGGCUGACCUUUGAAUGCUUUCUUCUUUCUCUUGAAUUUUUCUAAGAAGAACCAGAUUUGCUUCGUC